UACAGGGGGUGCAAACGUUGCUCGGAAUCAUUGGGCGUAAAGCGCACGUAGGCGGUCUGUUAUGUCGGAUGUGAAAGCCCUUGGCUCAACUGAGGAAGUGCACCUGAAACUGGCAGGCUUGAGUACGAAAGAGGGUCGCGGAAUUCCCGGUGUAGAGGUGAAAUUCGUAGAUAUCGGGAGGAACACCGGUGGCGAAGGCGGCGACCUGGUUCGACCCUGACGCUGAGGCGCGAAGGCGUGGGGAGCGAACGGG
rnacentral:rRNA from 1 species